GACGUAGGGCGCGAGCGUUGUCCGGAUUUAUUGGGCGUAAAGAGCUCGUAGGUGGUUUGUCGCGUUGUUCGUGAAAACUCACAGCUUAACUGUGGGCUUGCGGUCGAUACGGGCAUCACUGGAGUUCGGCAGGGGAGACUGGAAUUCCUGGUGUAGCGGUGAAAUGCGCAGAUAUCAGGAGGAACACCGGUGGCGAAGGCGACUUCCUGGACAAUUGCUGACGCUCAGGCACGAAAGCAUGGGGAGCAAAAGGG
rnacentral:rRNA from 1 species